rnacentral:rRNA from 1 species
AACGCGAAGAACCUUACCUAGGCUUUACAUAUACAGGACGACGGCAGAGAUGUUGUUUCCCUUGUGGCUUGUAUACAGGUGGUGCAUGGUUGUCUUCAGCUCGCGUCUUGAGAUGUUGGGUUAAGUCCCUCACCCAGCGCAACCCCCGUCUCUUGUUGCCUGCACGUUAUGGGGGGGACUCGCGAGAGACUGCCGGGGUCAACUCACCAGAAGGAGGGGAUGACGUAAAAUCAUCAUGCCCCUUAUGUCUAGGGCUUCACACAUGCUACAAUGGCUAGUACAAAGGGCUGCGAGACCGUGAGGUGGAGCGAAUCCCUUAAAGCUAGUCUCAGUUCGGAUUGGGGUCUGCAACUCGACCCCAUGAAGUCGGAGUCGCUAGUAAUCGCAGAUCAGCAUUGCUGCGGUGAAUACGUUCCCGGGUCUUGUACACACCG